AUGUGUACCCGCCAUCUUCCUAGAGCUCAGAUUGCAGUUCUAAAAAAUCAUGUCCUGUCACAUCCUGGACGCAGUCACACACACACACACACACACACACACACACACACACACACACACACACACACCAAACAUAUUUGUCAACAUCUCUUAUGUUUCCAGUCAACGAGAACGGAGUGCAGAGUUUCCAGCUCCAGCUCCAGAUCAGAUGAAAGGAGGAGAUCAAGGAGCAGAGGACGAGAGAAAGGGAAGCGGAAACGCAGCCGGAGUAGAUCUUCUUCGUCUUCCUCUUCCAGUUCAUCGUCCUCAUCCUCAUCCUCCUCAUCGUCAUCGUCUUCUUCUUCGUCGGGUUCAUCACACUCAUCUAGCCGCAGUUCGAGUAGCUCUAGCAGUAGCGACUCUCGAAGUAAAUCCAGAAAGCAGUCUAAGAAAAGGAAAAAGGAGAAACAACACAAAAAAAAAGGAAAGAAAGAGAAGCGACAUAAACGUAAAAAAGACAAGAAAGCUAAAGGAGAGGAAAAUUCGGGACCUGUACAGAUAUCCAAGUACUUGAAGGACCGGAAAAAAGGGAAGUACAGUAUGAUUUCAGGGAAGAAGAUAAAGAUGAAAGUAAAGAAGUCAAAGAAAGACAAACAGCGGGAUAAAAAUCGAGCAGAACUUCUUGAGUUCUUGAACUCUACCCUGUGAUGCCCCUGUGUACGCCAGUAGCUGUUCUCAGGCCUGGACAUGUCAGCAGAACUCAGGACACAACAACUCAGCUCUCCAAGAAAAA
rnacentral:lncRNA from 1 species